ensembl:lncRNA
AAUGGUAGUGAAGUUAAAGUGACUGUGGUGUAGAUAAUUUACCUUACGUUUGGCUUUUUACCACUGGUGAUUAUAUUUAGAUUUCUUUUGUCACAGAGUUCAUUCUCUGCAAUAAUCCAUGAAAAAACAAAAACAAAACAAUGGACAAAUCUUGUUGUGUUUUUGGUGAGGGAACCAGGGUGAUGCUAACUUCUAAAAUGACUGCGGCACAAUUUUACUAGAAAAAAAGAAAAAUGACGCACUUCUCCUUUAAGAAUUGUAUUUGGGUAUUAUUUAUACUUUGGUUUUCAAUAGUUCCAGGCGAGAGUGGUGGUAUUAUCAGUAUGCGAGUGUAUGUUCUGCCAGUGUGUGCAUGCCCCAGGCCUGCUAAAAUCUUGUCACAUGCUGUCUUCCUCUUCCUUUCCGAAGUCUGUUACACCUCUCUCCUUCCAUUCGCCCCCUCUCUCCCUCUCUCUCUAUCUCUCCAUCCUAUCUCUCUGCCGCUGUGGCAGGACCGAUUGUUGCUCAGUGACAAGCACAGCUUUAACAUUUCAGCAGAGAAGAAUCAGGUGGCAGUUUCAUAUACCCCUCUCUCUGUCUUCCUUUCUCUCUGGGAUGUGCCACGUUCAGUUCCCCUAUACCUGACACUGCUGAUAUUCUUACUCCCUCUUUUUCUCCAUCUCUCCAUCUCAUUCUGCCUAUCUCUCUGUUUCUCAGCCCUGUCUCACAUUUCCUGCCUUAAUUGGAAGGAGAAAGUUUUGCAGAGUCUGACGACUUGUAUGACGAAGGCCAGGAUUGGCUCUGGAGGAGCGGGCACUGGAGGGCACUCUGAAGGAGCAGAGCUGGCUGACGAAGGAGCUUUGGGCGGACCUUUCUGGGAUUCAGAAUAUGCAGAAAAGCUGUCUGGGACCAGCUGGGACUCAGGAGACGAAGGGGAACUGGAUGGGACCAGCAGAGAUGAGGAGACGAUGGAGGACUGGACAGGACCAGCAGAGAAGAAUGAGACUCAGGAGGGCUGGAUGGGACCAGCGGAGCUGAAGGAGAACUAG